rnacentral:rRNA from 1 species
CGUCCGCAGGGGGCUCAUCAGGUCUGCUGUCAAAGGUCGGAGCUCAACUCCGGUUCGGCAGUGGAAACUGGUGGGCUAGAGGGCGACAGGGGUAGAGGGAAUUCCCAGUGUAGCGGUGAAAUGCGUAGAGAUUGGGAAGAACACCGGUGGCGAAAGCGCUCUACUGGGUCGCACCUGACCCUCAGGGACGAAAGCUAAGGUAGCGAAAGGGAUUAGAUACCCCUGUAGUCUUAGCCGUAAACGAUGGAUACUAGGCGUGGUUGGUAUCGACCCCAGCCGUGCCGAAGCUAACGCGUUAAGUAUCCCGCCUGGGGAGUACGCACGCAAGUGUGAAACUCAAAGGAAUUGACGGGGGCCCGCACAAGCGGUGGAGGAUGUGGUUUAAUUCGAUGCAACGCGAAGAACCUUACCAGGGCUUGACAUCCCGCGAAUCUCCAGGAAAGUGGAGAGUGCCUUCGGGAGCGCGGAGACAGGUGGUGCAUGGCUGUCGUCAGCUCGUGUCGUGAGAUGUUGGGUUAAGUCCCGCAACGAGCGCAACCCUCGUCCUUAGUUGCCAGCAUUGAGUUGGGCACUCUAGGGAGACUGCCGGUGACAAACCGGAGGAAGGUGAGGAUGACGUCAAGUCAGCAUGCCCCUUAUGCUCUGGGCAACACACGUCCUACAAUGGUCGGGACAAAGGGGAGCGAGCUCGCGAGAGUCAGCGAAUCCCAGCAAACUCGGCCUCAGUUCAGAUGGCAGGCUGCAACUCGCCUGCC